CGCUCUUUGCACCGCGCAGCUCCAUCGCGAGAGCCCUUAGAAGGUGGGUGGGAGACGAGGAGCGCCCGGGGGCGUGUUCAAGGGGCUUGCACUGGCUGGUCCAGGUCCCCUUCUCCGCCACCCCCACGCUGCGGGACCUCGCCUGGGGAAAGGCAGGCUCCCCAGCGCGGCUGCAGCCUCCAAGCAAGCCUUCCACUGCGCCCUGGUCUUCCGGAAGGGGCAAUUACGACCCGCUGGAGAGAAGCGCGGAAAGCAGAGUCCUGCGCCGCUGCUCCCCGCAGGCUGGUCCCGGGAUAACGGCAGAGAACCCUAGAAGGACUCGAGGCUGCAGGAAACCUCUUCUCCCAUCUGAGAGGGAUGGUUUAACUGGGAGUCCUGCACUGAGCAGGGGGCUGGACCCAACGGCCCUCUAGGCCCUUCCGUCUCUACUAUUCUAUGAUUCCUUAAUGCAGAGAAAAUAAAAUACAACCAAGUCAUCUUUGUUUCAUCAUAAGAGUUUCAAGCACUGCUGUUUUGUGAUUCUGCAAGGGCUGAUCCCCCAAAUCACCAUGGAUCCGGGGAGCUUUGGAGAGGUUACAUCAAUCCCAAUUAUGCCCCAACCAUUCUCAUCUCCUCAGAUGAAUCCUGUGCCAAAGUCACUAAAGAAGUUUUAUUUGGGUGAGCCACUGGCCCUGGUGAUCACACAGAUCUUCAUAGGACUAUCAUCAUUGGCUUUUGGGCUGGUAUUGUUCAUGGUGGAGUAUCUCAGCCAGUUCUUCCUGACCUCCCUGGCAUCAGUUUGCACUGGGAACCUGGUAAUCUACCUAACUGUGUGAGUGAACUGCAGCGUUACGGACUGCAUGUUAAAAUAAGGAUUGCUUAGCUACUGCCAUGCUUCAGAGAGUCCCGUCAGUCCCGUUUUUGCUGAGGGGCUGCCACCAGCUACAGAACCAGUGAACAAUCUGAGAGAUGAAGAACAGGCUUCAAAGAUUAAAAGGCAACACCAGCCUUGUCACAUAGUCAGGGCUGAGUCCCAUUCAUAAAUUUGCAUCUGCAGUGUGAAGACAUGGAAUUUGGCUAUGGGGAGAGAGUUUGUGGCACUUUCAGCCAUAACUUUGUUUGAAAGAGAAAGUUUCUAGUCCUUUUAGACAUGAGGAUGCACUCAAACUCAAGGAAAGAAUGCCUGAAGAAAAAAUUGAAGCCGCAAAUGUAUUCCAAUAAUAAUGAGAUGGGCUUUAUUGAUCUGCAUGUACCCUUGAUCUCCUUUCUGGAUUUCAGAAGCAGAAUUAAUAACAAAAGCUGAUGCCAUUUUCCAUCCCAUCUCCAUGCCUUUGAGUGCAUCUGCUACCCUGACUUGGGUCCAGAAUGGAUAGUUGUCAUUUAGCAAUUGCAGAAUGCAAGGAAUGGAAGAUGGGGGACUCAGCUAUAGACGAACUGGAAGUGUUAGACAAUUCUCUAUCUUGAGCAUAGGAAAAGAACCAAAUGAGGGAGGUGUUGUGCUCAAAGAACUGAGAAGACCCAGUCUCUAAGGCCCUCUGACCUGGAAUCUCACUGGCUGAUUUGACUCUAAUCGUAUUUCUGUGUCUAGCUUGACUUUCUCCAACCUGGUGCCCCUGAAACCCUACAGACUACAGCCCCUGGCCAGGGCUGAAGUGAGCUGGUGUCCAACACAUCUGGCAGCCUGUUUUGAGUAUUUGGUGAAAGGGAGAAAGGAUGAUUUCUGUCCUGUUAAUGAGCUCUUUGCUGGAAGGAUAGAAUCAAUAAUGGUAAUUCAGCAAACCUAGAAUGAAAAGCAGUGAUGCCCCAAAUAGUGGUGUCAUGGGAAAUUCUGCAGAGCAGGUGCUCACUGCAACAGUCCCCCUGGACACAUUCUGAGAGGGAGAAAGCAAUGGCAGGGAGCUGUGCUGAGUCAUAGCAACACACCCAUUCCAUGCGUCUUCAUCUCCUAGCAGCAGGUCAUUUGUAAAGGCAUUUGGUCUUAAUGGACCCAUUAAGCUUCCCCCAGGUAAUUACAUUAUCAAACGAACAGCAUAUCGGCACUGGGAACAUUCAACCCUUCCCCUGGACUACUGUGAACAUUGCAGGUGGGGCAGGAGGUCAGUGUCCCUGGCUAAUAACCCUGACUCCACUAUGCCACUGGCCAAGGGGCCCCUGGGGGUUCACAGGAGCAUCUAGAUGCUCAUCUGCAUAGGGAAGGCGGGGCGUUGCUUCUGCACUCCACUGGAUAGCAAUUCUGUAGUUCUGGAGCUUUGAAUCUGUCAUUGGAUUCAUAUGGAUCUGUUUGCUCGCCUUUGUGCCUUUGCUUGCCAACGGUCAGUAUAACAGGUGCCUUUUUAUGACUGAGGGCACAAAACCAGAGCAGUGGGUGGCAGGGGGAAUAGUCCUUCUGAAUUGUGUUCAUCGCCUCUGACCUCUUUUUCUCAUCUCUUAUAGUCCAUUAUUUCAGGCUCUCUCUCUGUGGCAGCUGCCAGGAAGCUCAAGAUGUCACUGGUAACAAACUUAUUUAAGGAAUGUUGGGAUGUCAUAAGAAAAAAUAAGAUAGAGCCUAGAAGUCAUGGUGUUUGUUGCUUGUCAUUUAAGACUCUUUCCUGGUUUGAAACUGUUCUGGUUGAGCCAGCUGUAUGGAUCUCCUUGUGAGGUCCGACAGGUGGAAUUAAGCCAGAAGACGUGUUGGACUAGUGUGGGUAAGACAGAGAGAUAGCGCCAGGUAGUGAAUCUCUGUAAGAGUCACCUGUUUAUGUGAGUUCUUCGGUUCCAUGAGACCAGAAGUACAAACAUCUGCCAAGAUUUUUUUCUUGAUCUGGUCAGUCAGAUAAGCCAGUUUGGGACCAAUAUGCACAUAUGCAAAUAGGAGCUCGCUAGAGACUGCUGGUCAGUAUCUGAUAGUGUAGGAGAGUUCCCAGGGAUGGUGAAGGCUGAUCCAGUGAAAUUCCAGGCAUUCUAUUCCCCAUCAGGGCUCAGUGAUUGCCAGACAAUCUACUACAAGUGGAACUAAAGGCUCAUGCCACUCUGGAUAUGUCCCACUUUCUUAUUCCAGGUUCAGAGUUCAGAAACUUUUCUUCAUCAAGAGAGGUCACUGCAGAAUGCUUCUUCAGACUCUUUCCAGAAGAUCCAAGUAGCAGGAGAGAUACCAGGCCUCGGUUUUAUUAUUGUUGAGAGAGCAGCUGGGGCUCAAUGGAGUCAACAUCCCAUAUUAAAACAGCUCUUUGUCACCACUAGGUAAAAGGCUGGGAACGAAUGUAGUGAGUGCCGUGGCAGCUAUUCUUGCAUUACCGAUCCAGAUGGCUUUUAUGAGAACCCCCAACCAAGAAUCAUUUUUCCUGCAUGAUUGCAAGAGUCUCGAUUCACACUUAGUUCAGAAUUGUUACUGUACUACAAUUGUCCCAGUGGUUUUGGUGGUUUAUCAGAACUUAACCCCAAGCAAUGCUGCUCCUCAGCCACCUUCUUGCCUUCAUCCUGAAAUACCCCAAUCUUCUGCUGCUGAUCCACCAGUCCUGGGCUGCCAUUUCAAACUGCAAAGCCAAGAGCAAGAAGAUUAAAUCUAUACCUAUUGCAUAAGAAGCAAGCACUGCUGUUUUAUUAAACUCAGUCAAAUAACAUGGCUAUCAUGAACUGCACAGAACAGUUGGAAUGAAUGUGGAGAAAGAUUUUGCUAAUGAAGAAUGUUUGUUUAGGCAUAUCUUAAAAGUGGUUUAGGGGGAAUUAGGUAAUUCAGAACUGUCUGAAUAAUUGAAGAAACGAAAUGUAGCAAAUAUAAUACAUAACUAAGGGAGAACCCAUGAAAGUAACAAGAAGGAGGAAAGAAAGGGAAAGAAAAAGAAGAAAAAGAAACACUAAAUAUCUUUGGAAUUAUGUUUGAUACAAUUUGCAACAAUAUAUGAAUGCACAGGUAAGGAAAAUGCUACUUGUACAGUAUGUAAAUAUUAUCUCGCUUUCAGAAAUUUUUGUAUAAUAUUUUCAUAAAUGGACACAUUUUCAGUCAUUCGUUUUCUGAAUAAGGAACUAAACAA